UACGAAGGGGCUAGCGUUGCUCGGAAUUACUGGGCGUAAAGGGAGCGUAGGCGGGUUAUCAAGUUAGAGGUGAAAGCCCGGGGCUCAACUCCGGAAUUGCCUUUAAGACUGCAUCGCUAGAAUUGUGGAGAGGUAAGUGGAAUUCCGAGUGUAGAGGUGAAAUUCGUAGAUAUUCGGAAGAACACCAGUGGCGAAGGCGACUUACUGGACACAUAUUGACGCUGAGGUGCGAAAGCGUGGGGAGCAAACAGG
rnacentral:rRNA from 1 species